AGCAGUAUAGCAAGCUUCCUGGGGGCUUUCUCCAUUAUGCUGUCUCCAACUCUUGAAAUGAAGUGUUUUGAAUUAGCAGUGAGAGGUCUUGCUCCAAGGUGUGCUGGGUGAAACACGCUGGCCUCGGUUAUGGAAACCUAGAGAACGUGGUCAUGGGCGUCCCUUCGAUCUUCUGAAGCCUUCAGCUCCAUCAGAGAACUGAAGACCAGCCACUAGGACAAAAGAUAGGGAUCUGAGGCACAACAGAUGACCUGGCUGAGGCCCCUCUGUGUUCUGAACUGAAACCAGUUAUGAGCUUUUGCUUCUGUGGCAGUUGAAAGAUCAAGCAAGAGGCCUGGGUCAGCGUGAUUUCUUAUAGGAAACUGCCUCAAAGUGUGGCCCUGUAAAUGGGAGCAGCCAGGGAAAACAGCUACAGGCUUUUCUGCGUGUGCUCAGUCAGCAAAUACCUCACUUCAAGAAAUGAGCCCGCAAACACAGUUGCUCCUUUCUGCUCACUUCAGAGGACUCUAUACCUAUUUACUCUCACAUGGAAACAACAGCUGAAAGACUGAGUGGGAGGCCAGAAGCACUUGACUCAGUUGCAGCAGUUCUCCAAUUCAGCAGCUAGGUUUUUCUCCCUGAGGCAGUGUAAUAUGACAGAAAGGAAGCAUCUGAAAGCAUUUCUUCAUCAUCCAGAUUGCAGCCCUGUCACUGCUGCAGAGGUGACACACCUACCCUCCACUGCCUGCAGCUCUCCAGCUCGCUGGAGGGAGAACAGUGAAGGCAAACGCUUUUUUCCUCUUCGCCCUGAAAUCCCCUUGUUUCAAAGUUGUUAGCUCUGCUAGCACCAGGACAUGACUAACGCACCCAUUCCUACCCCAGGUUGGCAGCCCUUACAAAUGGAAUUUCAGGCCCGGGACAGGCUUAGUGUGGCUGGUUGUGUGUGUAACAUCCUUCCCAGAAACUCCUGGAUGCAGCCUGCAAGAUAACAGAUCAGGAAGAUGCAGUCUGCACCAAGUCUUCACAACGCUUGCUGUGGUGCCAGCCAGCACAAGGAAGGAGUGGUGUUUUAGCACAACCUAUUUACUUACUCUUCCUUUUUGAGACUGCAAAGUCGUGUAUCCCACAUCCAUUGAGCUAGCCCCUUUUGUUUGCAAAACUCAUUUUUAACCAGUUGCCACUUUUAAUGAAAAAGCUGAAAGGCAGUAAGGUUAACUAGGGAUGUUUUGGUAAAUCAUGUUGGUUUGUUUUGGAGGAUCCCUUCUAACCCAAGCCAUUCUACGAUUCUAUACUCCCCUUCAGAAAACUAUCAUAGAACGAUCCUUUCUUUUUCAUAUUGCCCCAUGUUUUUAUUCCUAUUUUACAUGUCAGUGUUGACUGCUCUUGGGAGAAACAAGAAGUGAAGAGGGGGUGAAGGGAAAGACAUCGGGAUUUUAUUCCCUAAGAACCGAGUACCCAAAGUUGUUUAACAAGAGCCUGCAGCAGUUUGUCACAAGCAAAACACUGCUGGGAGGUUUAUCGAAGACUAUCUCAUGAGAUGGGCUAUUUAAGGACUGAAAUUACACAGGAAGGAUGGGUAAGAGAGAUGUGUGGACGAGCACAGUUACAAUUAAUGCUAAAUAUAAGGUGUCAUAUCUUUAUCUAAAGCACAACCUGCAUUGCUUU
ensembl:lncRNA